rnacentral:other from 1 species
UACAUCCUGCGAUGUUCGUAACGGCUCUUCGUUGUUUUGAACCAAUGGCUGUUUCACGGGAGACCUACAUUGCCAUGCGGCUGACACGCCCUCGAAAAGGGAUCUCAAAAGCAUCGCUGCGGACACCCACCUGCGAGAGCGGGUUCAGAAACAUGUGAGUCGGACGGCAUAGGCGGGUUUUCU